rnacentral:rRNA from 1 species
GACGAACGCUGGCGGCGUGCCUAACACAUGCAAGUCGAGCGAGUUGAUUCUCUUCGGAGAUGAAGCUAGCGGCGGACGGGUGAGUAACACGUGGGCAACCUGCCUCAUAGAGGGGGAUAGCCUUUCGAAAGGAAGAUUAAUACCGCAUAACAUCAUUGAAUGGCAUCAUUUAAUGAUCAAAGGAUUUAUUCGCUAUGAGAUGGACCCGCGUCGCAUUAGCUAGUUGGUAAGGCAAUGGCUUACCAAGGCGACGAUGCGUAGCCGACCUGAGAGGGUGAUCGGCCACAUUGGGACUGAGACACGGCCCAGACUCCUACGGGAGGCAGCAGUGGGGAAUAUUGCACAAUGGGGGAAACCCUGAUGCAGCAACGCCGCGUGAGUGAUGACGGUCUUCGGAUUGUAAAGCUCUGUCUUUGGGGACGAUAAUGACGGUACCCAAGGAGGAAGCCACGGCUAACUACGUGCCAGCCGCCGCAGUAA